GAUGAACGCUGGCGGCGUGCCUAAUACAUGCAAGUCGAGCGAACAGACGAGGAGCUUGCUCCUCUGACGUUAGCGGCGGACGGGUGAGUAACACGUGGAUAACCUACCUAUAAGACUGGGAUAACUUCGGGAAACCGGAGCUAAUACCGGAUAAUAUAUUGAACCGCAUGGUUCAAUAGUGAAAGACGGUUUUGCUUUCACUUAUAGAUGGAUCCGCGCCGCAUUAGCUAGUUGGUAAGGUAACGGCUUACUAAGGCAACGAUGCGUAGCCGACCUGAGAGGGUGAUCGGCCACACUGGAACUGAGACACGGUCCAGACUCCUACGGGAGGCAGCAGUAGGGAAUCUUCCGCAAUGGGCGAAAGCUUGACGGAGCAACGCCGCGUGAGUGAUGAAGGUCUUCGGAUCGUAAAACUCUGUUAUUAGGGAAGAACAAAUGUGUAAGUAACUAUGCACGUCUUGACGGUACCUAAUCAGAAAGCCACGGCUAACUACGUG
rnacentral:rRNA from 1 species